rnacentral:tRNA from 1 species
GCUGCAUCUGCUACUAAGUUGGUAGAGCAUGAGACUCUUAAUCUCAGGGUCGUAGGUUUGAGCCCCACGUUGGGCA